rnacentral:rRNA from 1 species
CACGUAGGCGGAUUUGUAAGUCAGGGGUGAAAUCCCGGGGCUCAACCUCGGAACUGCCUUUGAUACUGCAAAUCUCGAGUCCGGAAGAGGUGAGUGGAAUUCCUAGUGUAGAGGUGAAAUUCGUAGAUAUUAGGAAGAACACCAGUGGCGAAGGCGGCUCACUGGUCCGGUACUGACGCUGAGGUGCGAAAGCGUGGGAGCAAACA